AUGGUGGAUCAUGUCGUCGGUGCCACCUCCACCUAUGCCCUCUGGAAGAAGAUCAAAGACUACUUCCUCGCAAACCGCGCCGCUCGCUUCAUGAUCCUCAACCGGCAGUACCGGAACCUCAAGCAAGGUGACCUCUCGGUGGCUGAGUAUGCACGGCGCAUGAAACAACUCACUGACGCCCUCGCCGAUAUCGAGCACGCCAUCACCGAGGUCGAUCUCACGACCCAGUUCCUCCACGGCGUCGACAAGCGCCUUGACACCAUCCGUGUCGUCCUCGGCGAUCAGGAGCUCCCCUUCGACACUGUCCUCUCCUGCGUCAUCCUCACCGAGGAAUCUCAGGCUCAGCGCGCCACCGAGGAGGGCGCCUCGGCGUUCGCUCUCUCCGGUGGUGACCGCGGCUAG
rnacentral:rRNA from 1 species